rnacentral:lncRNA from 1 species
AUAUUACCACUUUGCCUUCCCUUUCUUUUUGCUGGAAUGUGAUGAAAGGUGUGGACGCAUAGCAUCCCAAAUGAGAUAGGAGAUGCUGAGCAUGAAGACAAAAGCCUAUCGAAUGGGGUGUCAGAAAAGAAACAUCAAAAUAUCGAGGAUGGAAACUAGAGUCCAUGUUGGCCUUACAAGUCUUCUCUGAAUAUUCCAGAAACUAAUAGUUAAGAUUCUUUCAAAAAGGAGUAAAGCAGAGACAUUCAAAGAUGAACAGCAAUUCUGAAUGGAAAGAGGCCAGCUGUAAAACGUCAUAGAAGACCUGCAGUAGAGAUACAAUCCUGAGAAGAAUAUUUAGCAAGAAUGGGGUUUCAGAUUUCUGGUAUUUCCAUAUGGGUGGAGAUUGAAGAAAAAAAAGAAAAGAGCAAAAGUUUUCUCAUAAUGUUUUGCAACUUCUGCUUCCGGGCCCAGUCAGAGCCCAAAAGCAGCAAGAGAAGUAAAAUGAAAACACUGAACAUUUUUUUUGUUUUGUUUUGUUUUAAAUAAUAAUUAAUUUUCACUCACAAAACUGAGUAUACUUAAUUCAGCAAACAGGUACUGAGGACCUGCAGGCACUGGCAAAUAAGCAGAGACCCAGUGAUAGCCUACAUGAGCUCACCAGUUGCUGCAAGAGAGCCUGGUAAAGAGAACUCCAAGAGAAUUAUUCAAAGGAUCAUCACAGCAGAAGAAUACCUAUGCAGGUUACAAUGUCAAGAAAUCCACUAAUUCACAUGUCAUCAUCAUCAUCAAUCAUCAUCACAAAAAAGAGCAGAUUGAAAUGACUUGAAAAAUGCCAAGAAAAGGUGAUAAAAAGUGUGCAAUUCAAUGGAAAUAUUUUGUGGCAAAAGUGACAUAAGAGAACAUAAUAGAAGAAGUAGGAUUUGCCCAGAACCUUAAACACCUUGAGAAAGUAUAGAGAAAUUGUCAAUGUAACAUGCUCAAGAGGUAGCUACUUCCCUGACUUUCAGAGGAAAGAAGAACGGUAAAAGUCAAAAAAAGACUUCAAAGUGAAUUGUAAUAAGCAAGUUGUUUUAAAAUACUUUUUAUACUUUUUGGAAUUUCUACAAAAAUUUUAUUUUCAAUGUCCUUUUAGAUACUACAUCAUAAAGAGAAAUAUUAAAUAUUAAUUAUUAGUUACAUUCUAUAAUCUAUUGAAAUGUACUCAUGAUUCAUAUUGACGCCGCUCAAGAACUAUCCAUUGAAUAGACCAUAAAUGUGCAAAGAUUUCAAACUUUAAUAGGCACUGGAAGUCCAACUAGUUGCAUUUUCCUACUGAAUACAGCAUUUGCAUGAUUUUUAAGAGUUUAAAUAUUUCUAUCUCAUCAAGGCUGUAAUAUUUACCCACCACCCAGGAAGGGCGGUGGCUCCACAAGAAUUUCUAAAGCAAAAAUGUAUUAAAACUAUUAACAAGAAACUAAAAAC